AAGCCUUUCUUCCUUGUCUUCUUAUUUUCUUCAUCAAGAGAGAAAGAGAGAGAGAAUAAAGAGAGUUGAGAGCUCCUUCUAUAAGGAUUCUGAGUGUGUGAGAGAGAGAGGGGGAAAAAAUAGAGUGUGGAGCAAAGGUGCAGGAAAGAGGAAAUCCAGUUUCUUCCCAGCUGAGCUUCUGAUUCAUUGCAGUAAGCCCCAAAAUCCCAAAAUCCUUACUGCAGUACCUGAAUGAUGUCUCCGUUUGGCCUCGACACCAAAGUGUCGGCAUAAAUGGGCUACAGGACAUCUAUUAUGCGUGUGGACGCUAUCCAAUCUCCCACAAGUGCCAAGAUAUGUCCUCUGGCUCAUUGUAUAUGUGCAGUAUGCCGCACACGAGAGGAAAGACACUACUAGGCACCCCCAGUAUGCUGAAAGCGUUCUAUCGCAAGCACCAUGCAUGUCGUGCCUGCAAUGUGCACAGGGGCACCUACCUUGGUGCUAAGUCAUGCCCAAGGCUUAUGCCCGAAAGGACACAUUGUUGUACAGUAGUCUAUGGGCUGUGCGGGUCAACAAGAGUACAUGCGCCGAGGGUCUAUACAGGCCAAUACGUGUUCAAGCUUUUAGCCUAAGGCAAGGCUUAGGGGAAAAUCCCCCAUGAGGUGCAAUUUCAGAAAUUGUAAAAUUCAUUAAUUUCAAAUUUAUUUCAUGAAUGAA